GGGCGGCGCUGUGAGGGCUGCUGCGAGUGGGCACUGCCUCUCGGGGGCUCGGCCAGGCCCGGCCGGGCUCGCUGCUCGUAGUGUUUGUAAUUCCUGAAAGUUCACUCAAACGUGUCACGUCCCAGCCGGCCGCCAGCUGGUGGGGAAUUUACCCUUAUUUGGUCGCGACUCACACAACUUCUCCCCCCUCCCGUCCCCGCACCGCGCUCUGCUGCCCGCCUGCCCCUUUCCCUCAGGGUGAGGGGUCGCGGGCCACCCCCCCGUCCGCGGCGACCCUUCUCAGGAAGCAAGAAGCUUCGUGCUCCCUCUAUGCCAGAGGGCAAUCGGAGCGAAACUGCCGCAGCGAGCGGGGCUGAAGCAAUGUUUAACCUUAUUUCGGCUUAACUUGGCGGGCUGACAGCUGAGUCCCCCACCGGCCCCUCAGCCCGUCGCCCUCGACACCCCCCCGUGUUUCCGUUUGUGGGCUCCCAGGUGGGCGACGGCCCCGCAGGAGGGCACAUCGCUUUCCCCUCUGGAAGCAGCAGAGCGGUUGGGAGCCCUGUUGCUGCCUGUGGCUGCGUGGUGACCAUUCUUGAAACGUCUCCAAAUUUUUGUCUGUUGUGCUAAUGUCCCAGUCCUUUUUAAUACAGAGGGUUUUGACCUUGGAGAAAUCCAGAAGAAAUCAAUGGAAAAUGGAAGCUGUCAGUCUCCGUACCUCCAGCAGGAGCUUCUCUGUACAUCCCAUAUGCAUAUUUCUUGGAUGGGAAGGGUGUCGAUUUCUCUUGUAGUCAAACCAGUGACUGAUUCAUCACUAAACUAUCUCUUCCUGUAAUUCCCUGCUACUUCAUUCAGCUGAUUGUAUCUUAGGGAGCAGAGAUAAGUGCCGGAGCAAUACAAAGAGAGCUGGCUGAUAAA